UGAUUGAAUUAGGAAGAUGUGGUGUAUAUAUACACAAUGGAAUACUAUUCAGCCAUAAAAAAGAACAACUAAUGCCAUUUGCAGCAACAUGGAUGGAACUAGAGACUCUCAUACUGAGUGAAGUAAGUCAGAAAGGGAAAGACAAAUACCAUAUGAUAUCACAUAUCUGGAAUCUAAUAUAUGGCACAAAUGAGCCUUUCCUCAGAAAAGAAAAUCAUGGACUUGGAGAAUAGACUUGUGGUCGCCAAGGGGGAGGGGGAGGGAGUGGGAUGGAUGGGGUGCUUGGGGUUAAUAGAUGCAGAUUCUAACCUUUGGAAUGGAUUAGCAAUGAGAUCUUGCUGUGUAGCACUGGGAACUAUGUCUAGUCACUUAUGAUGGAGCAUGAUAAUGUGAGAAAAAAGAAUGUGUACAUGUAUGUGUAAACUGGGUCACCAUGCUAUACAGUAUAAAAAUGACAGAACACUGUAAACCAGCUAAAAUGGAGAAAAAUAAAAAUUAUUAUAUAAAAAAAUGCAAAAUUUUAGAGAAUGAACAAUUUGUCAUGCUCAAAGCCCAUUGCCUACUAUGUGCUUAAUUAUUUGAAGUUUCAUAGUCACAUAGAAUAUGGAUUUGAAAUUUGUGGUAAUGCAAAAUAAUAAAAGGGCAGCAAUGAUAUAUUUUUAUAAGAUCUUGGAAAAUAUUAAACAAAUGGAUAAAAGAAGUAUUAUAAAAAAUUUCAUUUUUCUGUAGCAAUCUUUGAAUAAUGUACCCAUUUCCCACUUCUUUGUGGUUCUGUCACAUCAUAUUAUAUGUUGUCUGAUUCCGGAGGUAAACGAGGUCAACACACACACAACACGCCCCCCGACACUCCCAUGUAGUGGCUUUCUGGUUCUGGUGUACUUACUUCAUUCUAGUAUCCUGUUGGUUUUUAAAAUAGUAGCAUACAGGUUUGAAGGCUGCAGUUAUUUGUUUAAUAUCUGGUAGUAUUGGUACUGUCUUUUGUGUGUGUGUAUUUAUAUGUCAUUUUUAAGAUACUCUCACUCGUAUUUCUUUUCAACUCACUCUAGAAUAAUUUGGUAAAAUUACCCCAAAAUAUUUUUAGAUUUUAAUUGAAAUUUGAGUGUACAAAUAGAAUUGAGAAGAAUUGGCAACUUUACAAGAUUUAGUCUUACUGUACAGAAACCUAGUGUGUUGCUCAGUAAAGUUUUGAUUUGGGGUAUUUUUCAUGCUGUAUGCAAGGGUUUAUAUCAGACAUUGGUCGUUUGUCUAAGUAUUUUCUUUUUUCAUGAUUCACUCUUCAAACUGACCAGAAAAUUAGGGAGCAUUCCUUGUGUACUAUGGGCCCACCUUAACUUUGUUCAUUCAAGUUCACGUCUUUGGCCUAACAGCAUGUCAUUGUCCAGGAAAGGGAGAGGCACUUGAGGCUUGGAAGCUUCUCUUUCCCAUGACUGGGCCACAACCUUGCUCUAAGUAUAUAUUUAUUUUAAAUUAUUUUACUUAAAUUAGCCUAAGAAGAUGGUUUCAGUAUGAAUAUUUAAAACAUCAGUAUGUGAAUAGUUCUACUUCUUCAAUAAUUCACCAAGGACAUAACAUAAAAUUGUACCAAAAUAUGUAGUAUCAUGUGUGUGUGUGUGUGUGUGUGUGUAUAGAUACAUAUAAUAUAUAUAUAAAUACAAAGUUCCCAUCAUGGCAUGGCAGAAACGAAUCCGACUAGGGACCAUAAGGUUGUGGGUUCGAUCCCUGGCUUUGCUCAGUGGGUUAAGGAUCUGGUGUUGCUGUGGCUGUGGUGUAGGUCACAGAUGUGGCUCGGAUCUAACGUUGCUGUAGUUCUGGAGUAGGCUGGCAGCAACAGCUCUGAUUCGACCCCUAGCCUGGGAACCUCCAUAUGCUGCGGGUGCGGCCCUAAAAAGACAAAAGACAAAAAAAAAAUGACAGUGUUGGGUAACUAGCCUGAAGCUCUGAAGCUAUUUAUUUGGGUCUGUACUCUAGUUAUAGAGAUCUUUUUUUUUUUUAAGGAAUAUCCAGAAAGAUUUUCAUACUUGCAAUUUUUUCAUGUCUUUUUAAAAUGCUCCAUUGCUAUAUAUUUCAGCUCCCGUCCAUGGACCCUGGUAUCUAAAACAAUUUGCUUAUUGGAAUCAUGCAAGAGAGAAUGUGUUCCUUUUAUUAACAUGAGUCCUCCAGGUUUUCCCAAAACUGAGACUUGUUUACCUCAGGCCAAUGGACCCCACCUCUGCCGGUGCCCUGUCUCUCGAAGCUGCCCUUUAGACAAGUUGGAGAGUUAUUGUGUGCGUGGGUCUGCAGGCCUGCUCAUCCACACCUCCAGUUCCAGUUUUAUUAUUUUAAAUGAUGAUUCCUCCGUGUAGUGGAAUUGUACACUAAGCUACGUGCCAGUUACAAGCAUCAGGUUGUGGUGAGAACCACGUUCAUCUCCCUGCCGAAAACUGCCAGGUCUUCCCCAUGCACAGGUCAUCACGUCAGAUUUUACUAACAUCCAGUUUCCAUUUCCCAUGGAGCUCACUGAGCUCAACAACAAAGGAAAACAAGUGAAAAGCUUCUGAUUUGCUUCUGUUAAGAUUUCUAGUUUCCAUGCCUAGGUUUAUAUAUUUCUUUUUACUUGGAUGCUUGAAGCAACAAUAUACUCACAGUGAUGAAAAUCCUCUCAAAGCCUCAGGAGAGUUUUCUCCCACUGGUUUAAAUUUCCCUGUCAAAAUUUCUCAGGUAAUGUGAUGCUGAGAGAGAGUGUGUGUGAGAGAGAAAAAGAUCCGUGUAGAUGAGCAAAGCCAUUGCAGUGGGGUUGUCAAUCACAUGACAUUUCACUUGGAAUUCUAACCCAUGCAGAUUUACAGCUCUGCAGAGUGUUUUCUGCUGCCAGCAUAUAAUGUUUAAUUGUAAUAAAAAAUGAUUUUUAAAAAAUCGUUGAAAAAUGGUGUCUUAGUUCAAGACGGCAUCUCUAGUUUAACUAUUUCUGUAUUUCACUUUAGGAUGACCAGUGUUCUGAUUUGCUUGGCGCUGAUGGGUUUCCAGUGCUAAAACUUGGAGAGACCUGGGCCAACGUGCCGGUGGGUCUUUAGCUCCACAAACAUGUUUGAGAAGUAUGGAGAGAUUAGUAGAUAGAUGUUUUCAAGUAUCUAUUGUACUCAGUAGAAAGGAGAGAGAGUUUUUGGUAUAUGAAGGUGUUACUUGAACAUUCAAUGAAUAGUAAUCACCCUAGAGAUGUUACAGAAUCUGGACUCAAGUUGUUCUUUGCUGGCAGAAACUGGAUAUUUUUUAUUUAUGCAGUUAUACUUAUUUAUUCAUAAUUUAAUCCCUGCAUACUUCCAGAAAUGAUUUGAGAAGCUUUACAGUAAAACCGUAUAUGAAGAUACUGAGUUUUUAUGGCAGUUCAAAAACUAAGGUGAAAGAUGUAUUUUGAAGCUUGGCUAAAAGUACUAUGCCUUAAAAAUUAAAUUUGAUAAUAUGAAUGAUAACUAAUAUGAGAUCUGAGGUACUCUAGGUAGAAACAUACUCUAGGUAGAAACAUGAUUUUGGAUAAAGAUGCAGCCAUGAUUUGAGUAAUGAUUUGGUGUUUUAAAGUUCCCAGCGGACAGUCUGGCGAGCUGUUGCAAGGAGGGCCGCAUAUUCAGGAGUUCUGGACAGGCAACUUUCCUUCACAGGCAUGUUUUUGAUUCUGGCUCCACGCAUUCUAUCAUGAGACACAUUUGGGUUGCAUUGAAAAAGACUGUGAAUUUAUUAAAAAGACCUGCUGUAAGCUUUGUUCUUCUGUGCCUAGACUGUAGUGACUUGGGGAAAGUCUUUGUAAUCUACCUGAGCCUGUUUUCUCAUCUGUUAAGUACAGAUACUAGUAACUACCUCACAGAUUUGGAGUGAGAAUUAAUUAGUGGGUCUGUACCCAAAAAAUGACUUACAAAUAUACUGUAAAAACAUAGUAUGAAAGAUAUUAACAACCACUAAUGUAAUUAUUAUUUUCACAGUCUAUAUACAAAAUGAUUAUUUAGGACUCAAUUACAGCGUUAUAUCUUACCCAGACAACUCUAUAGAUUAGGAGUCCACGUUGGUGAAUUUUAAACCAUAGCUGCCUUAUCUGUAAACUGGUUUAUUAACAUGUGCCUUGCAAAGACGUUAGGAGGAUUAAAUACCAUAAGUGAUAUAAAGCACACAGUGUCAGACCAUAGCAAGUCUUCAAUGAAUAAUAAGUCUUCAAGCUAUUUUAGUUACUAUGGUUAACACUUUUUAUUUUAUGUGAAUGAGUGAGGAAUUGAUAUAUUGGAGUCAUCUGACAUUGUAUUUCCUAAACUUUCAACAGUAGAAUAUUAAAUGACAUCCCAGUGUAUAAAGUAGAUAUAAAAACAUUUUGUUAGUAUGGAUGCAUUUCCUAAGUUCACAUUUUAAAACAUGCUUAUUGAUAAGGGGUCAGUCAAUGAAAACAAAGAAGUUCCUUGCUGAACACAAAUAUGUAAAAUCAUGGUUCAUAGAUAAUAGUUGUGCAAUAUAUCUGUUCCAUCAUGCAGUUUAUGUUUUACUUGUUUUAUUAAUUUUCUUUUAAAAAAUUUAGUGUCUUUAUUUUGUUUUGAUUUAUUUGGUAUUUCUCUUUUGUGUCUUUGGUUUCUACAGUUUCUUCCUCUAGAUAGCAAACUUCUCAAGGCUGGGGAGUGUCUUCAAUUUAUCUUUUGGACCUAAUGCCCAGUAGAAGGCAUGGCACAGGGUAGGCCUCAAAAAUGUUUUGUGGAUAAAUGGAUAGUCAGUAUAGUGAGGCUUAUUUUACCUGAGAAAAACCACUGUAUUUUUAAAGGUGUUAGGGUAUGAAAAGACAAGAAAUGAAAUAAUAAAAUAACUAAUAACAAAUAAAAAAUACCUUCUUAAUGGAAGUCCAGAAGAAUUUUAAUCUAUAAGUAGAGCUCUUGCCAUACCAGAGAAGAAUCUGGUCUUUGCAAACGGUGUGUGUGCGCACGCGCACACACAUAUGGGAGCUCCUUCAUGCAUAUGGGUUUACAAGAGUGGGUGAGGGACAGAGUGAAGGAGAUUGGAAGGGAUAAACACUUGGGCAGGACCUGCCAAGUGUCAGGCACUUGCCAAGUGCAUUGCUUUGAGUAUGGUCUCUAUUCUUGAGAAUUUUUGCCAUAUCAAAGCUUGAUGAAAUAAGCCCAGUGAAAUGUUUAUCAUACUUUGGCAGGUGGACUGUGGGAAACACAGACUGUUAGUGGAACUGUGGGGUCAACUGUUUUCUGUCUUUUGGGGGCUGAGUAAUUUGUAGAGUUCUUUAUCACCCCUGUCUUAUCCAUGAGAGCCAGCAAGAAAAGGUAGAAACAAAUCAGAAAAAAGUAGACUGUAUGCUGAUAAAAAUAACAACAGCUAGCAUUUAUGGAGCACUCUGAGUGUUUUACUUACAUUAACUCUUUUACUCUCUGCAAUUGUAGGAGGUAGGCACUGCUGUUAUCCCCAUUUUACAGGUGAGAACUGUGAGUCACAGAGAGGAAAUGUAAUAAAUUGCAGUUCCAUGUUUAGGAAAUGGUAGGUCCAGGACUCUGAGCAAAUUCCUUAAGCACCACCACUCAGGACCCUCCUCUUACAAUAAGACUCUUGGCAUAUCAGCUGCGGAAGCAAGAGGAAGGCUCAUGGCCGUGCCAGUUCCAUGUAGGGGUUCUCCAGGAGAGCUUCAGUUGAUGGGAAAGGAGUGUGUGCCCUUGAGGGUAGCUUGCAGCUAUGGUGCCAGGGGCAAAGUGCCCCCUUCUUGCUGUGGUCAUUGAAGGGCAGAGGUGAUUAUUCCAGUUCUGGAGGGAGGCUGGUGAGAAACUAAAGUCGGGAUCUGUAGAAUCCCUCCUUAUGCCCUUUGUUCCAUCUUUAAGUUGGGGAAAAAUGGGUUUUUAGUUCCAGUUGGAUCAAUCUGUUGAGUACAUAGAUAUGCAUAAUAUCUGGAGAUGCUAUGAUGAUUACAAGCAUAAAAUUGCCCAGCGAUUGGAAACUUUUAAUCAUACACUUUGAACAUUCUAGCCAAUUUUUUUUUGUGGCCUAAAAAUACAUCAUAGGUGGAAGGAAACAUCUGCUGUGUUUUUCGUGAGAGCUGAGGAAGCUAAUGUGCUUCGUUUACACGGU
rnacentral:lncRNA from 1 species